rnacentral:rRNA from 1 species
CGUCUAUAUACGUAUAGCAUAUCAAUAAGCGGAGGAAAAGAAACUAACUAGGAUUCCCUCAGUAACGGCGAGUGAAGCGGGAAGAGCUCAAAUUUGAAAUCUUCAAGGUUCUACCUUGACGAAUUGUAGUUUAAAGAAGUGUUUUCUGUUGGAGUUUUGGUAAAAGUUCUUUGGAAUAGGACAUCAUAGAGGGUGAGAAUCCCGUAUUUGACCAUUAUCUUCCAACUGUGUGAUACACUUUCAAAGAGUCGGAUUGUUUGGGAAUGCAGUCCAAAAUGGGUGGUAAAUUUCAUCUAAAGCUAAAUACUGGCGAGAGACCGAUAGCGAACAAGUACCGUGAGGGAAAGAUGAAAAGAACUUUGAAAAGAGAGUUAAACAGUACGUGAAAUUAGUCAAAAGGGAAGCGUUUGACACCAGUGUUGUUUUCUCGAAAAUCAAUUAAAAAUGGUGGGAUUUUGUGUUGUAUUGACUUUAUCAGCUUUCUGCACUUUUUUCCUGUCUUUUUUAAUGCACUUUUCGUUUAACAAGUCAACAUCAAUUUCUUUUGUUGUAAAAGGGUCAUUGGAAGGUGGCUUUCUUUUCGGAGAAAGUGUUUAUAGCCUUUGACUUCUGCAAUCGGAGAGAUUGAGGUCUGCAGCGUAGAUCCUUCGGGGUUAGAUGCAUUUGUGCUAAGUUAUAGCCUUUCAUAGACAACUUGUUGACUAUGAUCAGUCAUGUAGCUUACUCGCUUAUGUCAUUUUACCUACGCUUAGGAUGUUGACGAUCAGCUGAGCGCG